GGGUCCAUGCUUCAUCAAUAGUGAGAACAGCAGAGAGAGAGAGAGAGAGAGAGAGGACUCUCUCUAUCCCUCUUUUUCUCUUCUUCUUCUUGUUUUUUUGUUCUUUUCCUUGGUUUCUUUUGCAAAACAGGGGAACUUGCCCCACCUUUCUCUGGAAUAGAAGAGGACCAUGAGGCCUGAUGGUGGCUAUGGUUGGCAAUGGUGCUAGCCAUAGGAGCACAAAUGAUGGGGGAA
rnacentral:lncRNA from 1 species